GCGUUUGAUGAAACAGUGUGUCAGUCUGGAGAACUCUGUGUGAAUCUCAGAUUCCCCAACUUUCCUUCCCUCCUGCUCCCCACACCGUCCUGCAUCCUCCUCUUCAGCUUCGCGAUUUCAGGUCUUUUCCAAGAACUGAACUGUUCCAGGCCUCUGGACUGUCCAGGUCACCCUCUGGUGAACUUGGCCGAUAGAUUCUCUUUCAAGAAUGUUACAGCCAACCAAGCCAUCCGCGCCCCAGAGUGCCCAAGAGCCAAAAGAGGAGCUCCCUCACAUAACCCCGGUGUCCCAAGGCAUCUGAGCAGUGGCUCCUCUCUGCAUGAAUCUCAGGAAACCCACAGAAGCCAAAUUCAAGUAUUUGCACGAUGGCUGCUGCUAGAGACUGCAUUCUAUUUACCUAUUUAUUUACUUACUUACGGCUGCACUGGGUCCUCAUGGUGGUACACGGGCUUCUCAGUGCGGUGGCUUCUUGCUGUAGCUCGUGAGUUCUAG
rnacentral:lncRNA from 1 species